GCCCGGGGGCUCCCAGUUGUCUUUAAAAGGAUCGGACGCGAGGGCACAGGUUUCCCGGAGAAGCCGUGGCUGCCCCAUCCCUGGAAGUGUCCAAGGCCAGGCUGGACGGGGCUUGGAGCGACCUGUUCUAGUGGAAGGUGUCCCUGCCCGUGGCCGGGGGUGGAAUGCCAUAGUCCUUAAGGUCCCUUCCAGCGCAAACCAUCCUGGGAUUCUGUGAUUUGCGCUCGAGGCUUGACUUGGUGAAUGUUGCAGGUGAUCCUUUCCACGUUACUGCCGGAGGAGGUAGAGGAUAUCUGCUGCCCGUACCUGUUUUCCAGAACGCAUCCAGCUAAAGCACCUGAUUAAAAGGGUGCAAGUUUAUCCCCGAGGUUAAUAAUAGCCCGCGAAAGGCAGAAGCAGAUUAAAGCUCUUCAGAAGCUGGAACGGAGUUCCAGCACGAGAUCACUCAGCUUCUUUCCCUUGGAAUUCCAGCGCUAAAUCCUUUAAAAAGAACAUUUCAGCUGUCAUAAACCUGGAACUCAGCAUA